GGGGUUGUGGCUCAGAGGUAGAGAGCUUGCCUAGCAUGCAUGAGGCACUGAGUUCAAUCCUCAGCACCCCA
rnacentral:tRNA from 1 species